rnacentral:rRNA from 1 species
UACGUAGGGUGCAAGCGUUGUCCGGAAUUAUUGGGCGUAAAGAGCUCGUAGGCGGUCUGUUGCGUCCGCUGUGAAAACUCGGGGCUUAACCCCGAGCCUGCAGUGGAUACGGGCAGACUAGAGGUAGGUAGGGGAGAAUGGAAUUCCCGGUGUAGCGGUGAAAUGCGCAGAUAUCGGGAGGAACACCGGUGGCGAAGGCGGUUCUCUGGACAGUUCCUGACACUGAGACACGAAGGCCAGGGGAGCAAACGGG